rnacentral:rRNA from 1 species
UACAGAGGUCUCAAGCGUUGUUCGGAUUCAUUGGGCGUAAAGGGCGCGUAGGUGGCGCCGUAAGUCAGGUGUGAAAUCUCGGGGCUCAACCCCGAAACUGCACUUGAUACUGCGGUGCUCGAGUACUGGAGAGGAGAUUGGAAUUUACGGUGUAGCAGUGAAAUGCGUAGAUAUCGUAAGGAAGACCAGUGGCGAAGGCGAAUCUCUGGACAGUUACUGACACUGAGGCACGAAGGCCAGGGGAGCAAACGGG